GACGAACGCUGGCGGCGGGCUUAACACAUGCAAGUCGAACGGAAAGGCCCUGCUUUUGUGUGGUUCUCGAGGGGCGAACGGGUGAGUAACACGUGAGUAACCUGCCCUUGACUUUGGGAUAACUUCAGGAAACUGGGGCUAAUACCUGAUAGGAGCUCCUGCUGCAUGGUGGGGGUUGGAAAUUUUCGGCGGAUGGGGAUGGAGUGGGGGCUUAUCAGCUGGUGGGGUGAGUAGUUGCUAACCAAGGCUUUGACGGGUAGCCGGCAUGGGAGGUUGACCGCGCACAUUGGGACUGAGAUACGGCCCAGAGUCCUACGGGAGGCAGCAGUGGGGAAUAUUGUCCAAUGGGCGGACGCCUGAUGAAGAAACGCCGCGUGCGGGAUGACGGCCUUCGGGUUGUAAACCGCUUUAGCCUGUGACGAAGCGUGAGUGACGGUAAUGGGUAAAGAAGCACCGGCUAACUACGUG
rnacentral:rRNA from 1 species